CCUACGGGAGGCAGCAGUGAGGAAUAUUGGUCAAUGGGCGGGAGGCUGAACCAGCCAAGCCGCGUGAAGGACGAAGGUGCAGCGUAUCGUAAACCUCUUUUGUCAAGGGACAAAGGCGGGGACGAGAGCCCGAACGAGGGUACUUGAAGAAAAAGCAUCGGCUAACUCCGUGCCAGCAGCCGCGGUAAUACGGAGGAUGCGAGCGUUAUCCGGAUUUAUUGGGUUUAAAGGGUGCGUAGGCGGCCUGUUAAGUCAGCGGUAAAAGCCCGGGGCUCAACCCCGGCGAGCCGUUGAAACUGGCUGGCUGGAGUUGGCGAGAGGUACGCGGAAUGCGCGGUGUAGCGGUGAAAUGCUUAGAUAUCGCGCAGAACUCCGAUUGCGAAGGCAGCAUACCGGCGGCGAUCUGACGCUGAGGCACGAAAGCGUGGGUAUCGAACAGGAUUAGAUACCCUGGUAGUC
rnacentral:rRNA from 1 species